CUUCUCCCCACAAAUACCAUGGCCAGGAAUCUCUGGACCUGGUGGGAGCUGUGGCAGAGGUAGCCUUGAAGCUCCUGGUCUUGAUGUGGCUCCAGUGCCCUUCCACAGUCCCACUUCUCUGCUUGGAGGUUCCCUUGUGGCAAUUAAGAGAGGCCCAGUGUAAGCACCUCGUUUGUAGCAGGACCUGGUUUGCCCAGCUCCUCUGUCACUGCUGCUGAUCAGUGCACAGGGACGUGGAGCUGGUGGGAUCACACCAUGGCCUGGGUCCCUCUCCUCCUCGCGGUGCUCACCUACACCUCAGGUUCCCUGGUCCAGGCAGUGCUGACUCAGCCGUCCUCAUUGUCUCACAAGGUGGGAGACACCGUCAAGAUCACCUUCCCUGGCCUUAGCAGUAGCUGGCCUAGUGCUGACUGGUACCAGCAGAAGGUCCCUGGCACUGCCCCUGUCACUGUGAUCUAUGAAAAUGACAAGAGACCCUCAGACAUCCCUUUGCGAUUCUCCAGAUCCUUGUCCAGAUCAACGGGCACAUUAACCAUCACUGGGGUCCAAGUUGAGGACGAGGCUGUCUAUUUCUGUGGUAGCUACAACAGCAGCAGUGAUUCCACAGUCACACGGAGCAAUGGGGAAGUGAUCCCAAAAUCUCCUGCCAUUGCAGACCUCAGUCAGGCCUCUCUGCUGUUCCUAUUUGAUGGUGGACCAGGUCCCCAUCAUGGCCCUGCCCUUGCUGCCCUGUGCUUAAAGUGGCUGUGCCUGAUGUCCCAACUUGGACACCCCUUAGAGCUCCAGGUUCCCUGGUCCAGGCAGCGCUGACUCAGUCACCUCGCACGUCAGCCAAAGUGGGAGACACCGUCAAGAUCGACUGCUCUGGGAGUAGCAGCAACUGGGGUUAUACUGCCUGACACUACCUGGCACUGCCCCUGUCACUGUGAUCUAUACUAAUAGCAAGAGACCCUCAGAC